rnacentral:rRNA from 1 species
GAAAAGCACCCCGGGAGGGGAGUGAAAGAGUUCCUGAAACCGUGUCGCCUACAAGCAGUUGGAGCGCUAAGGGCCUUGUGCCCAGCGUGACAGCGUGCCUUUUGCAGAAUGAGCCUGCGAGUUAAUGUACGUGGCUUGCUUAAGUGCCUCAGGCACGAAGGCUGAGCGAAAGCGAGUAUGAAGAGUGCGAUGGGCAGUUUAGGCUGCUUUAUGUCGCGUGCAUUAGACCCGAAACCGUGUGAUCUACCCAUGUCCAGGUUGAAGCGGCAGUAAAGUGUCGUGGAGGACCGAACCGUUGUAUGUUGAAGAAUGCUCGGAUGAGGUGUGGGUAGGGGUGAAAUGCCAAUCGAACACGGAGAUAGCUGGUUCUCCUCGAAAUGCAUUUAGGUGCAGCGUUGUUUG